rnacentral:rRNA from 1 species
GAUGAACGCUGGCGGCGUGCCUAAUACAUGCAAGUCGAGCGAACAGACGAGGAGCUUGCUCCUCUGACGUUAGCGGCGGACGGGUGAGUAACACGUGGAUAACCUACCUAUAAGACUGGGAUAACUUCGGGAAACCGGAGCUAAUACCGGAUAAUAUAUUGAACCGCAUGGUUCAAUAGUGAAAGACGGUUUUGCUGUCACUUAUAGAUGGAUCCGCGCCGCAUUAGCUAGUUGGUAAGGUAACGGCUUACCAAGGCAACGAUGCGUAGCCGACCUGAGAGGGGGAUCGGCCGCACUGGAACUGAGACACGGUCCAGACUCCUACGGGAGGCAGCAGUAGGGAAUCUUCCGCAAUGGGCGAAAGCCUGACGGAGCAACGCCGCGUGAGUGAUGAAGGUCUUCGGAUCGUAAAACUCUGUUAUUAGGGAAGAACAAAUGUGUAAGUAACUAUGCACGUCUUGACGGUACCUAAUCAGAAAGCCACGGCUAACUACGU